rnacentral:lncRNA from 1 species
UGACUAAAAACUGAAAAUAAUCUAGCAAAAAACAUUACAAAAACUAAUAUAAGACUGAGAAGGCAAGCUUACAAACUGAGGAACAAGAAUAAUGAACAAUGAAUACUUAGGAAUAAGUACUCAAGAUUUUAUUUUGUCCAUACAAAUGAGACGUCUCACUUAAACGUACAAGUCCUCAAUCAAGCUUAAAAAAAAUUACACUCCAUGAAACAAAGCAUGAGCUAACUCAUCACGGAAGGCAUUCAUGUCGAUAUCUUCAACAAGAGAUUCGUCUUCUGGCCAUGCGGAUGCAGAAGAACUAGGCAUUGGGUUAUAGUUUUCAUCCGCAUCACACGCAUCAAAUUCCCUAUCCGGAAUUCUGCUCUCUCGAAUGAAAUUAUGAAGAACCAUACAAGCAACAAUAAUUCUAGUUUGCUUGUCCUCUGGAAAUUUUGGCAUGUUCAAUAAAAUCCUAAAUUUCAUCUUCAACACUCCAAAGGACCGCUCAAUGACAUUCCUAACUUUGGCAUGUGCAUGGUUGAAGGUUUCUUUCAUACCUUGUGGCGGCGGGCCGUUUUGCCAUUGUUGCACAUGGUACCUUGUACAUCUGUAUGGUGAAAGGUAGCCUGGACGGUUUGGGUACCCCGCAUCAACCACAUAAUACUUCCCUGCAAAUUGUGAAAGACACACAAUGAGACUUGGAUGAACAAGUGUAAUUGGAUAAAAAAAGUUGCAAGACAUUUGAAGUAGCAAACCUGGUGGUGGAUGUGGAAAUUUUUAAUGAUGAGUAGUUCUGGCAUCUUUCAAAACUCUCAUGUCAUGUGCUGAACCAGGCCAUCCCGACAUCACAAAUGUAAAUCUCAUGUCGAAAUCACAAACAGCAAGCACAUUCUGACUGGUUUCAUUGUGCCUGUUCAAGUAUGGAAUCCUCUUACUCUUAUCCACCACAACAUUCACAUGUGUCCCAUCUAUAGCUUCUAUGCAGUCAUUGAAGUGUGGCCAGAAUGCUGGAUUUUCUAAGUUUGGGUGCACCUCUGAAAAUGUUGGGUCCUUGGGUACAAUUAUGUCAUGUGCUAACCUGAGGAGGCAUGUCAAAACUCUGUUAAAUGUCCUACUUACUGUCUCCAUGGACCUCCUAAAACGGUUCUCAGCCUGUCUAACUGACUGUGGUGAUCCAACAAUCCAUAAAAACAUAGCUAGAGCCUCUACAGAUGUCAUUUUUGUAGUGGACUUCAAGCCAUAUGAUUGCACCAAAGUAUUAUGUAGCUUGUUAAACAAAGGUCUCUCAACCCUAAACAUGUUAUAGCAUUGGGUAUCUCGGGCUAGUGUCUCCUGCACCCAAUCCAAACCAGAGUAUCCACUGACCCUCCUAGGUAGUUUCACAAAGUAGUUAUCAGAGUACAUACCCAAGACAGGAACCAACUUCAAGAUUAAAUUCUCGGACUGCACCAAAUUGUUGCGGCACAUAGAUAUGAUCUCAUCCUCACUUGUGCUACCUCCAUCAUAUUCUUCUUCCUCAAUCAUGGGGACAUGAUCUUCUUCCUGUUUCAACACAUGUAUCAAAUUGUCAACACAUAUCAUAAAACUUGAAGGAAUGUAAGCAAAUGAAAUUAAUUCAGCCCGCAGAUAAAACAAAAUAGGUUCAACACAGAUAAUAGUUCAACACCUCACAAACACAUGAUAGGUUCAACAUAUACAACAAUUUAAAUAGAUUCAACAUCUUAACACACACACUUCAAACUACUCCAAAUUGUUGUCCCUGCGUCAUUUCUUGAAGUAACCCAACCUAAGCUCAGGAGUUAACAGGCCACAAAAGAACUCCCUUUGGUACUCUGUUUCGAACAUCUUAGACAUAGCAUAGACAGAGUCAACUGUUUGCUCAACGCCACACUCAAAUGCUAGCUCCUGACACCUCUUCACAGAAUAUGCAACCUUCUCAUUUGCACGUUUCUGCAUUUGCUUAGUGUUGGCUACGACAGACUCCUUAUAGGUAUUGGCUAUGUCCUUGACAAUCUUCACCAUUGGGCUCUUGCUCUUCUUCAAUGGACUGGUCAAAGUGCUUGAAGUGCUUAUUGAUCUCUUGCCCCUCUGGCUCCUCUGGUUGCUUGUACUUGUAGGUGUUCCUUGAAACUCCUCCUCUUCCUCUUCUACCCCUGCAUCUUGCCCUUGAUUCUGACCAUAAUCAUCUCCAGGCACAAAGGCUGUGCUUCCAUCCACGGUGUAACCUCUGAAUAGUCAAUCAAGCAACUCCUCGUUUGCUGGAGGACCCCACUGCAACUUCCUUAGGUAUGGUUUCUUCUGCAGGAUAGUGAAAAAGUAAAACUAGUUAAGAUAUGAGAGAUUCAUCAAGAUUUAUACUGAUGAAAAAGGCACAUGGAUGGACGGUGCAUGCACAUGGAUGGACUAGUAUGUGGUCGUUGAAAGCAUCAGUUUUGUUUUAUCUUCUCUGGCUGUUUGUUUCUUCCUGGUUAAAUUAUUGCUCCAGACUUAAAUUAUUUGACUAGCUCAGAUUCAUCAAGAUUUACUGCUCCAGACUUAAAUUAUUUGACUAGCUCAGAUUCAUCAACAGUCCAUUUUAUUUACAUAAAAGCAUAUAUAGUCGUAACUACGUGCAUAGAAGACCCAUAUACUUUGCCAAUGCAAUGAAAAAUCUUCACAGCAGCAUAGAAGACCCAUAUAAGACCCAUAUACUUUGCCAAUGCAAUGAAAAAUCUUCACAGCAGCAUAGAAGACCCAUAUAAGACCCAUAUACUUUGCCAAUGCAAUGAAAAAUCUUCACAGCAGCAUAGAAGACCCAUAUAAGACCCAUAUACUUUGCCAAUGCAAUGAAAAAUCCUCACAGCAGCGACCCAACAUAUUUAAAGAUAUACUACAUUGAUAUAGGCAGUAAAAGUGUACCUCUGUGUGUGUAAUCCAGAACUCAGAGUCGGCAUCAAUGGUUCCAUCUGGUUUCCUCCCCAUCCGUAGAGCCCAAGCCCCAGGAACCCCUCCGACGCCGGCGCUUGCGAGUUGAGGUCAAGACCGACAUGGGGAGCGGGGCCGCUUGCCGACGGCUGCGAACCCCACACAUCGAAGCCGUCUCCGUCCAUCGCUGGUGCUAUGCUCCAAGCUAUACUACCUGUACCAGAAGAGAAGAAUCAGUAGCACAUCCAGGAAGUGUUACAAGCAAGCCGAACUCAACACCGCACAUGCAGUCGUGCUCUUCUCCGGAAUAAGUAAUCUUGUCCAUGUUAACUUAUGAGAUACAUUUCUAACUUUGAUUAUUUAUAACAGCUAGUGUAACAAAAAUGAAAUUGUACCAAAAUAUUUUGUGUAAGUUCCUGAACAUCUGCAGCUCUUUAUAAGUAUUCAUAGAUCAGCUCUUUAUAAGUAUUGAGUUGUUUCUCAAUAUAGAUCCUGAACAUCUGCAGCUCUUUAUAAGUAUUUAUAGAUCAGCUUUUUAUAAGUAUUUACAUAUCACAGCUCUUUGUUUCUUAAUGCUCAAAUCACAGCUAGUGCAUAUCAAAUUAUUUAUAGAUCAGCUCUUUGUUUCUUCAUGCUCUAAAUUUGCACAAACAUCUGCAACGAGAGGGGGCUGAACAUCUGCAGCUAACUAGCUAACUAAACAGAAGAAUCCAGCCACGCCGUUGCUCACGCUAACUAAUCUAGCUAUGGACUACUCUUGCUGACUUGAUGCACAGACGGACGCGUACGAGGAGGGAGAGCACGAGUACAGAAGGAACGGACGGACUCACCUCUCGCUGGAUCGAUCCUUGACAGAUGCGUCGCCUCCGCGCACGAGAGAGAGAGAGGGAAACGACCGGGAGCGGCGCGAGCUUCGGACGGGGGAGGACGAGCGGCGACCGGAGGAGGACGAGCGGCGACCGGAGGAGGAC